UACUGCUUGCCGUGCAGUAGCAGAGAGAACAGUCUAUGACUAGGGUGGCUGGAGUAUGUGGUGGAAAAUCGUCUAGAAAUAUAACACUUACAAGAACUUGUGAAUUCAAUAAAGGCUUUUAAUACAAAAUAUCAUAAGCCGUGCUGGUCCGCGGAACAACCAACUUCCCUGAGCACUGGCUCUGCCUUUAUACACAUACAGCAUAUGAGUCCAUCCCACAUGCAAAUGAAGUUACUUCCCUCAGUCCAUCUGCCACCAUUAUCUUUUAGUUUAAGCUUCCUGUUUGUUCACGCCCAAUAACGCCCAUAUCUGCUUUCGGUUAGGUUAUAAUGGUGGCGGGACCCUUUCAUGUCCUAAAAAUAAUAUAUGUCCAGCUGUCCUAUGGGUCUAUGUCUUUGGCCUUUGUACUUAUGUUUAGCUUGGUGUGCUCUUUGGUAUGUUGCCCUUAUUAGGACUAGUAGAUUGUGUGUCCCUCUGACAUUGGUAUGUCCAGCUUAUCCUAAGCACUUAUGGCCUUGGCCAUUAUACUUAUGUUUGUUCCGCUCCAUCUAAUCUUUGGUAUGCUGCCCUUUCCAGAAUAGCAAAUGCACUUAAGUGUCGCCUUCUCCUCCUGUGGUCUGAUGUACACAUGUCCUUGCUACUUUUAGUAUUACAUCUGUCCCUAUAUGUAACAUUAACUCCCACAAGUCUUUGACCAUUUUUAGGGCCUUCCUCUGACACCGCCUGAUAUAGAGGUCCUGGAUGGCGUGAAGCUUGGCCCUAGUGAUGUACUGGGCCAUACGCACAACCCUCUGUAGUGCCUUUGUGUCUCAGGGUUCGAUUUUUAAGAUAAAAUGCUAAUUUAGAUUUGUUUAUUUCACAUCCAUUAAGUAGAUACUAAAAUAACCUUCAACUCUUUUUUUUCAGCUUACUUUUUUUCUUCAGCAUGUCAUGUCUGUUUUUGUUCUGUCUCACAUGACUUUUGACAUUCUUCUUUGUAUUACACUUUAAAAAAAAGUCUUGAUAAUUACAAAAUAUUUAAUGCACCUGUUUAAAAAGAGUCAAAUACAUGGAAACUAUAUACAUACUAGAUGUGCAUAAGCCAUUUGAUACUUUCUUUACACAAAAUACAGUCGUCUCUUAGUAUUGUGUCAUUAACACCACAACAAGCAAAUUACAUGACAAUAACCUUUUUUUCAAAAGUUUGUACUUGGUUACCAUGGAUAUGAAUAGUGACAGUGGAGCACAUGGAUGUCAUGGAGUCUAUUUGGUCAUUACCAAAUAGGCUAUAAUUUCAUCAAAUUAUGUUAUUUUUUGAAAUUAUGUUUUAAUUAUGUGUAUUUCGGGUACAUUGUAUGCUAGCUGUUCAACUGGAGUUAGCAUGCUAGAAUCCCUGCUAUUUAUGACCAAAUAUCGUAAAAUUGUCACCACAUAAUGAACUGUGAUGGUAAAGGCGGAAUGUGGUGGUAAAGACAGAAUGUAUUAGUUCAUACAUUUUUAUUUGCCGUAAGACCUGAAAAGACAAACAAAUGACAUAUAUGAUCAUGGUUCAGUUGAAAUUGAACACUAAAUAAGACCAUUACAUGUUGUAUUAUGUUAGGAUGGUUGAGUGAUUUUGAUGUCUAUUCAUGUGACUUACUAUGGUUAUUACUGGGUUAGGGUUAAAUAUCAACAUUUAGACAUGACAACUCACUACCGAGUUACUGGGUUAUUACAGGCUGACUAAACCGCUCGCGUGCGCGCACCCCGCUAAUGUGGGAGUUAAUGUAAUGUAUGCUGAGAAAACAUAGGAACAAUAAUUACAUUAACAGGAAGUAGAGAUGAUGUCAUCUAGUGUAUUUGUUGCUUCUGUGCAAUACAACAUGCCAAUGAUUACAUUAAGUUAAUGUACAUGACUACAUUAGCUGAGGUCAUAAUUACAUUUGUUACAUCUGGACAUACUAAUGACAGGAGUAAGCGGAGAGAGGAUGGUAGCAAAAAUGACCAACAUAUGAAACAUGGAGUAUACAAACAUUAGCUAUAUUUGGAUCAAAACAGACGGACAAUUUUGGGCGAAAUAAAGUCCAUGAUGGAUGGACCUGAUAUAGCUGAAAAUUCACCGUCCGUGGACGUCGCCACUGAUGCCAUGGCAAAGCCACGGUGAAAUUCCCCUUUAACCUGUAGUUGUUGCCUUUUUUCAAUGCAGGAUUCUACAUGCAGGAGUUAGUCCGUAGCGUGGUGUCUGGUUUGGGGUAGGGAAAUAUGGCGAAGCGAAAGUGCUGUUCGAGUCUGAUGGCUCCAAGUUGAGUGAAGUUGGUAAGAAUUGAAUGGAAGACGGAGACAACGAAAAAUGGAGCAAACAGACCAAAAGUUGUAAAUGAACAUCGGUUUCUUAUGGAGCGCGAUUCAUCAACAAUUAUGUAUUGUUAGGAGAUCAUCUGAGGUCAGGAAGAUGGUAAAGGAGGCAUUAGGAAAGGUAGAGUCAGUCAGAGUGACCAGUAGUGGUUUUGGUUUGAUGCGUCUCAGAAGAGCUGAAGGAGAGAGCAUUGUUUUUCGGAGCAGGGCACCGAUAAAAUGUGUUAUAUCUGGAGUUUCGUUGGAAGAGUGAAGAGUGUCUGCCUACUCAUGUGAUGCUGCGAUAUGUAAGAUACGCAGUGAGAGCGAUUGUGAAUAAACCACUGCAGUUAUGAAAUUGAUAAAAGAAUGGCCAUGUUUCAAAGUGUGUGCCCACUGAAUAUUUUUGGUAUUUAUUAGGAUCCCCAUUAACCACUGCAAAAGUAUCAGAAUUGUUCACUUCUCUCAUUGACUUCUCAAACCCCGGCUUGGUCCGCUUCACAAGUUCUCUGAAGUCUCGCGUUGUUUGCGUCUCUGGGUUUAGAAACUGGUAGUGGGGGAACAGGAAGUUCCGCGCGGGCGCACAUCAUUCUUCACAAUAAAGGAUACGCCAGAAUUGUGCAGUCGAGAUGACAACUUCUGUGUCCGUUUCAAAUGUAUUACUACUGGCUCCGGUAUUUCCACGACACUCUCCUUCCACACUGAGUCAAAACCUACAGUCACUGGGUCCUGAUUGUGACAGUGGAGCCCAUUUUGAACUGCAGGAUCAAGAGAUAGCAUCAGUGAAGCUGGAGGACUGCAGUCAAACACUGGAACUGAAUGCCAAAAUUAAAACAGAAAAUCUGUUUCUCAUGGACUAGAAUUAAGUCUGAGGCCGGUAACAUCAACAGUAACGACAAACCCAGCCUGCCUCUCUCCUUC